GCAGACAAGGCACGGUCCCUGUUGGGAGUGUUUUCCAGAAAUUGCACGUAUCCACCUCUCUGGUCAUUUCGCUGAUUCAUUGAUGUCUAUUGUUCCAGGCUCAACCUUUGACCCCUCUCGGACAUAGGUCUUUGGGAACAGGCUGUUUGCGGGGUGACCUCCGUCGGCGUCCAACGGGGAAUGCCUCCCGUGAAACCAAGAGACCCAGCCCACCCGUGUGGCUCAGUGGUUGAGCAUCCACCCAUGAAUCCGGAGUUCUGUGACCCGCGUCUCCGUGGCCCCAUGAUGCUCCCAGCAACCCUGUCUGCAUGCGAGCUGGCACGGCGCCCCCCAUCUUAUCGCCGGACUCAGAGGACAAUGAUGAAGUUCACCAAGAUCAGAAAUCUGAGGCACGGGUGGGUGGGUGAAGACACUUGCCCGAAGCCACACAGACAAUGGCCGGACUGGACCAACAGCCCAGCAGCCAGACUCCACACGGCUCAUGCCUCAGUAUGAAAGCCCAGUGGCCAAUGGCACGUAAGUAGCAAAAAACCCCAAACAAAUCGGGAAUGUUAAAUGUUUUAUCUGCCUGCCUCCUCCCCAGGGCUCUUUGGCAGCACAUUCUUUGGACACCACACUGAGAAGUGGCCUUGGUAUCUCACCUUUGGCCUGGUGACAAUACAACUCUCCAAAUACUCUCUCUGCAGGGGGGAUGGCCUCGAGCUGUGACCUAUAGUAGCAAGUGGCAGCCCCCCCCCCCAAAAAAAUCAAAGAACCCAUUAUAUGGUGCCCACUGACAUGCCCACAUUUUAAAAGUGGAACAUGAGAUCCAAAAGUGCUAACCCUAUUUGUAACAUUUCGGGGGGGCACUACUGAUUAAAGAAGGAAAGAACAAAAGUAAGGACAUGGAUACCAUAACCCAUUUCUUUUUAAGUUGGGUUUAUUCAGCUCACAUUCAUCUUUUUUUCCAGUAGAUAGUUCAGUGUAUUUCAACACAUGCAUCCAGGCAUGCAAGCACAACCAGCAUUCAGAUCCAGAACAUUUUUCAUCAUCCCCCAAAUUUCUGUUGUGUCCCUUUGUAGUUUAUCCCUAUGUUGAUCAUUUUUUCUUUUCUCCCUUUAAAAUAUAUAUAUAUUUUUUAAAUUGAUUUUAGAGAGGA